GGUGGAGAUCCGGGGGCGGGAGGGGGGCCUUCCCGCGGUUUUAUGGGAGAUGUAGUUUGAAGCCCACAGGUUGUGCGCAAGGGAGAAGGGGUGGAGAUUGCGGGUGGAAGUGUUUGGGAGCCGGCGCGGGAGAGAUCGCGGUCUAAAGGAUUGGCGCUGAAUGAAGGGCUGAAAAUCCUUCUCCUGAGACUGUGAUGUGUAGAUAGAACGUGGUGCAGGCGAUCGGAAAACUGUAGGCCUGAGGAAACGAUUUUAAAUUUUCCAGCGUCUCCCACCCAUCUCCUAGCCCUCUCUCCAAUACAGUCCAAUGCAAUUGAUUGCUCAAAGCAUGUCACAAUGAAUAAACAAAAUCUGAUUCAGAGACUAUGCCAAGCCAGGUGAUAAGAUCUUGAAGAACCAAGAUCCAGAGAGAAGUGAAAGGAAUCAGUGUUCCAUGGAGCGGAAGUGCAUCAGGAAAGGAGGAUAUAAACCUGAAGGCACAAAUCUGGGCUGGAGCACAUGGUUUCCCUUGUGAGAAGAAAAUGUCUCCUUCCUCUGAAUGGACACACCUUGCACACCAGGGCACAAGGUUUGUCUAGAAGAGCACAGCUGAACAUCAUAAAGUGCAGAACCACACACCUGGCAUCCUUGUCCCUACACAAGGUAUGUUGCUGUUAAAGUACAAUUUGUUACUCUCCAAAGCACACUCACAAUUCCCUACUUGGGUCCCUUGUUGCAUGUUACUGCUCCUCAUUUAUGCAUUUGGAUGCUUUCUUAUAUUUUUCCUCAACCUCUACCACAUUCAGUUAGGCACUCAGCCUAUAUUUCAUGUAUACCUAUGUAGCAGGUAUUAUGACCAGAGUUGGGGAUGCACAGAAAUUGCAGAUUUCUUAUUCAUGACAUUACUUCUCAUCCCCACAACUCAAUAUGAUAAUUCCUUUCCCUAACCACCCCACUUCCCAAUGCACAUAAUAUUUUGUCUGUACUUUCCUUUGAGAAUUUGCAUUUUCUACUCUUUCUAGUACUGUGCAAACAUAUGUUUUCUUUGCCAUUAAACUUAAUGGCAUGGACUUAAAAAUCUUGAUAUCUAGAACAGUGCCUAGCCCUGUAACUUGAGGAUAUAAAUUAAACUUAAUUGAAUUAUUCAUUACCUUCCUUGUAACUUUAACUGUCGCAUUAUGACUGUAACUCAAUCCGUGUAUUAUAUGUCAGCAAAGUUGAGCGCCUUUUCCGUGCAGUUACACUUUGAGUUACUUAAGGAUUACAUCCUUUUGCUAGAGUCCUCAAACAGCAUUUAGUGGCAUCUUUCAGACAUGUGGCGCUUGCAGAGCUGGAGAAAAGAUGGCAGAAUUAUAUGUCUUUUCCUUUUUCUUCUUUUUGGCAGCUCUUUACCUAAUGAUGUAGACUAUAUUUGAUACACUAUAGUUUUCUUAUUCUGCUAAAUUCCUCAUCAACACAUGACCUCGAUAGAUAUUGCUGUCAACAUCUUCAAUUUCUUCUUUCUAUUUAUCUUGACAAAUCCCUGGGUGCAGUAUUAAUUUUAUCUACCUUAGCAUGGAGGUGAUUAUUUUAGCUCAUUUUAAUGCUCCUUCUAUGUAGUUGCCCAUUAGUGAUCGCAAGAAGUUGAUUCUACAACCACUACUCCCCUCCUGCCUCACUGCAGAUACCAAAACUUUCAGUUCCUUGUAUAAAAUGGUAUUUGCGUAUAAUCUACACACAUCUUCCCAUAUACUUUAAG